rnacentral:rRNA from 1 species
GACGAACGCUGGCGGCGUGCUUAACACAUGCAAGUCGAAUGAUGAACCCGGAGCUUGCUCCGGUGGAUUAGUGGCGAACGGGUGAGUAACACGUGAGUAACCUGCCCUUGACUCAGGGAUAACUGCGGGAAACUGUAGCUAAUACCGGAUACGACCCUCGGCGGCAUCGCCAGGGGGUGGAAAGAAUUUCGGUCAAGGAUGGACUCGCGGCCUAUCAGCUAGUUGGUGAGGUAACGGCUCACCAAGGCGACGACGGGUAGCCGGCCUGAGAGGGUGACCGGCCACACUGGGACUGAGACACGGCCCAGACUCCUACGGGAGGCAGCAGUGGGGAAUAUUGCACAAUGGGCGCAAGCCUGAUGCAGCAACGCCGCGUGAGGGAUGACGGCCUUCGGGUCGUAAACCUCUUUCAGCACCGACGAAGCGCAAGUGACGGUAGGUGCAGAAGAAGGACCGGCCAACUACGUGCCAGCAGCCGCAGUAA